ACCAGACUCCUACGGGAGGCAGCAGUGGGGAAUAUUGGGCAAUGGGCGCAAGCCUGACCCAGCAAUGCCGCGUGAAGGAAGAAGGCUUUCGGGUUGUAAACUUCUUUGACAGGGGAAGAGCAGAAGACGGUACCCUGAAAACAAGCCACGGCUAACUACGUGCCAGCAGCCGCGGUAAUACGUAGGUGGCAAGCGUUGUCCGGAUUUACUGGGUGUAAAGGGCGUGUAGCCGGGAAGGCAAGUCAGAUGUGAGAUCCGGAGGCUCAACCUCCGAAUUGCAUUUGAAACUGUUUUUCUUGAGUACUGGAGAGGCAGACGGAAUUCCUUGUGUAGCGGUGAAAUGCGUAGAUAUAAGGAGGAACACCAGUGGCGAAGGCGGUCUGCUGGACAGCAACUGACGGUGAGGCGCGAAAGCGUGGGGAGCAAACAGGAUUAGAUACCCGCGUA
rnacentral:rRNA from 1 species